rnacentral:lncRNA from 1 species
CCGAACUCCUACAGUGGGUAGUCUACUCCGAAUCUCUACUGUGACCAAAUUCCAUUCAAGCCCCUACUGUGAACACGUCUCUUCCGAACUUUCAUUACAGGUAGACUUCAGUCGAGCUUCUUCAUAGUCAGAUCCCAGACGAGCUUCUACAGCGGGACAGGACCCACUGGUCAGAUCACUACUCCAAGCUCCCAUGACAACCGAUCUUCGAUCUAGCUUCUACAAUAAGCGGUCUCCUUUCAGCCCUUUGCAAGAACCAGACCUCGAUCGAACUUCCAUAUCGAAUGG